UACGUAGGGAGCGAGCGUUAUCCGGAUUUACUGGGUGUAAAGGGCGCGUAGGCGGGAAUGCAAGUCAAAUGUGAAAUCUCCGGGCUCAACCCGGAAACUGCAUUUGAAACUGUAUUUCUUGAGUGAUGGAGAGGCAAGCGGAAUUCCUAGUGUAGCGGUGAAAUGCGUAGAUAUUAGGAGGAACACCAGUGGCGAAGGCGGCUUGCUGGACAUUAACUGACGCUGAGGCGCGAAAGCGUGGGGAGCAAACAGG
rnacentral:rRNA from 1 species